UCGAGAACCAACAUCGCGGAGCCU
rnacentral:siRNA from 1 species